ensembl:lncRNA
GCAAGGCAAUGCCAGGCCAGCCCAGGGCAAGACAGGCCAGGCCAGGCAAGGCAAGGCAAGGCCAGGCAAGGCAAGGCAAUGGAAGACAGGGCUAGACAAGGCAAGUCAAAGCAAGGGAAGGCAAGGCCAGGCAAGAGCAGGCAAGGAAAGGCAAAGCAAGGCAAGGCCAGGGAAUGCAAGGCAAGGCAAAUCCAGUCCAGGGCAGGCAAGGCACAGCCGGACAAAAGAAGGCCAGGCCAGGCCAGGCCAGGGUAGGCAAGGCAAGGCUAGGCAAGACCAGGACAAACAAGGCAUGGCCAGGCCAGGCAAGGCAAGGCAAUGCCAGGCAAGGCAAUGCAAAGUCAGGCAAGGCAAAGACCUGGACAGGCCGGGGCAGUCCAAGCAUGGCCAGGCCAGUCCAGGUAAGGCAUGGAGACGAAAGGCCAGGCAAGUUUAGGCGAGGUCAGGCAAGGUCAGAUGAGGCUAGGUGAUGCCAGACCAGGCCAGGUGAGGUGAGUCCAGGCGAGACCAGAAAAGGCCAGGCGAAGGAAGGCAAGUCGAGGCAAGGCAAGGCCAGGCCAGGCCAGGCCAGGCAAGACAAGGCCAGGCCAGGCUAGGCAAGGGAAGGAACAGCCAAGCUAGGUCAGUGUAGUCCAGGCCGGGUAGGGCAAGGAUAGGCCAGUACAGGCCAGGGCAGAAAGGACAAGGCAAGGCCAGGCAAGGCAAGGCCAGACCCAGCCAAAUCAGAACAGGCUCAGCCAGGCCAGGUUCAGC